GACGAACGCUGGCGGCGUGCUUAACACAUGCCAGUCGAACGGGAGUAUUGAAGAAGCUUGCUUUAGAGAUACUUUAGUGGCGGACGGGUGAGUAACGCGUGAGGAGCUGUCCGAUGCAGGGGGACAACAGUUGGAAACGACUGCUACUACCCCAUAAGCCGCGAGGGAAAAGGAUUUAUCCGGCAAUGGAGGUGCUCGCGUCCUAUCAGCUAGUAGGUGAGGUAACGGCUCACCUAGGCGAAGACGGGUAGCCGGCCUGAGAGGGCGAACGGCCACACUGGAACUGAGAUACGGGCCAGACUCCUACGGGAGGCAGCAGUGGGGAAUAUUGGGCAAUGGGGGGAACCCUGACCCAGCGACGCCGCGUGGGUGAAGAAAUCCUUCGGGAUGUAAAGCCCUGUUGUAUGGGAAGAGCGGAAGACGGUACCAUACGAGGAAGCCCCGGCAAACUACGUGCCAGCCGCCGCUGUAA
rnacentral:rRNA from 1 species